rnacentral:rRNA from 1 species
CAGCAGCCACGGGAAUACGUAGGUGGCAAGCGUUGUCCGGAAUUAUUGGGCGUAAAGCGCGCGCAGGUGGUUUAAUAAGUCUGAUGUGAAAGCCCACGGCUCAACCGUGGAGGGUCAUUGGAAACUGUUAAACUUGAGUGCAGGAGAGAAAAGUGGAAUUCCUAGUGUAGCGGUGAAAUGCGUAGAGAUUAGGAGGAACACCAGUGGCGAAGGCGGCUUUUUGGCCUGUAACUGACACUGAGGCGCGAAAGCGUGGGGAGCGAACAGGAUUAGAUACCCGAGUAGUCCCUGUCUCUUAUAC